rnacentral:lncRNA from 1 species
GUGCUUUUUUGAAGGAAUGGAGCUUAAAACGAUUUCGUUUUCUUUGAAACAACUAAAGAUUGCUACAAACAACUUCAAGGCUUCAAACAAAAUCGGGGAAGGAGGUUUUACAAGGGUACGUUGAGUGAUGGCACGGUGGUUGCAGUGAAGCAGCUUUCGUCUCACUCAAAGCAGGGAAACCGAAUGAGAUCGGUGUGAUUUCGUGUUUACAACACCCGAAUCUUGUUAAACUUCAUGGAUGUUGCAUUGAAGGAGAUCAGUAGUUGUUGCUGGUUUAUGAGUACAUUGAAAAUAAUAGCCUUGCAAAUGCUUUGUUUGGUAAAAGUGGAUUAACGUUGGAUUGGCCAACAAGGUUCAGGAUAUGUAUCGGGAUUGCUCGAGGUUUAGCUUUCCUUCACGAGGAUCAAA